UGUUACUUCAAGCCAACACACCUGCAAUAACUCUGCUGCACUAUCCUUCCCGGUAGCCAUCCUCCAAUAGCGAGGGUCAUUUCCCCAUACGAUGUUAAGCGCCGUUGGUUUAAACACCCACGUGAGUGUUUCCUGUUUCUUUUCCACAUCUUUUGAAAUUGCCUCAUGAUGUGGUUUAUUAGUCGACAUCUUGAGAGGAGAAAAACUAAUAAGUAGCCGUGAAGGAAUGAAGUGAUAUAGAUCUCACUAAGCUUUAGAAAAUGUUGACAAGAAGGAAGGAACUGAACCAAAAGUGCAAGAAAUGAGAAUUUAUAAAAUAAAGAAGCGAA
rnacentral:misc_RNA from 1 species